rnacentral:rRNA from 1 species
GCUAUACAUGCAAGUCGAACGCUUUGUGGUUCAACUGAUUUGAAGAGCUUGCUCAGAUAUGACGAUGGACAUUGCAAAGAGUGGCGAACGGGUGAGUAACACGUGGGAAACCUACCUCUUAGCAGGGGAUAACAUUUGGAAACAGAUGCUAAUACCGUAUAACAAUGACAACCGCAUGGUUGUUAUUUAAAAGAUGGUUCUGCUAUCACUAAGAGAUGGUCCCGCGGUGCAUUAGCUAGUUGGUAAGGUAAUGGCUUACCAAGGCGAUGAUGCAUAGCCGAGUUGAGAGACUGAUCGGCCACAAUGGGACUGAGACACGGCCCAUACUCCUACGGGAGGCAGCAGUAGGGAAUCUUCCACAAUGGGCGAAAGCCUGAUGGAGCAACGCCGCGUGUGUGAUGAAGGGUUUCGGCUCGUAAAACACUGUUGUAAGAGAAGAAUGACAUUGAGAGUAACUGUUCAAUGUGUGACGGUAUCUUACCAGAAAGGAACGGCUAAAUACGUGCCAGCAGCCGCGGUAAUACGUAUGUUCCAAGCGUUAUCCGGAUUUAUUGGGCGUAAAGCGAGCGCAGACGGUUAUUUAAGUCUGAAGUGAAAGCCCUCAGCUCAACUGAGGAAUUGCUUUGGAAACUGGAUGACUUGAGUGCAGUAGAGGAAAGUGGAACUCCAUGUGUAGCGGUGAAAUGCGUAGAUAUAUGGAAGAACACCAGUGGCGAAGGCGGCUUUCUGGACUGUAACUGACGUUGAGGCUCGAAAGUGUGGGUAGCAAACAGGAUUAGAUACCCUGGUAGUCCACACCGUAAACGAUGAGUGCUAGGUGUUUGAGGGUUUCCGCCCUUAAGUGCCGCAGCUAACGCAUUAAGCACUCCGCCUGGGGAGUACGACCGCAAGGUUGAAACUCAAAGGAAUUGACGGGGACCCGCACAAGCGGUGGAGCAUGUGGUUUAAUUCGAAGCAACGCGAAGAACCUUACCAGGUCUUGACAUCCCUUGACAACUCCAGAGAUGGAGCGUUCCCUUCGGGGACAAGGUGACAGGUGGUGCAUGGUUGUCGUCAGCUCGUGUCGUGAGAUGUUGGGUUAAGUCCCGCAACGAGCGCAACCCUUAUUACUAGUUGCCAGCAUUCAGUUGGGCACUCUAGUGAGACUGCCGGUGACAAACCGGAGGAAGGUGGGGAUGACGUCAAAUCAUCAUGCCCCUUAUGACCUGGGCUACACACGUGCUACAAUGGCGUAUACAACGAGUUGCCAACCCGCGAGGGUGAGCUAAUCUCUUAAAGUACGUCUCAGUUCGGAUUGUAGGCUGCAACUCGCCUACAUGAAGUCGGAAUCGCUAGUAAUCGCGGAUCAGCACGCCGCGGUGAAUACGUUCCCGGGUCUUGUACACACCGCCCGUCACACCAUGAGAGUUUGUAACACCCAAAGCCGGUGGGGUAACCUUCGGGAGCCAGCCGUCUAAGGUGACAG